AUACUCUGGUUUUUCUUCAGAUCGUAUAAAUCUUUUGCCUUUUACUGAAGAUUUCCAUGGAGAGGAACAACUCUGAGUCUUUGACCAAUUUUUUGAGGCCUUGUGCUUGCUCAUAGGGCU